CCUACGGGUGGCAGCAGUGAGGAAUAUUGGUCAAUGGACGAGAGUCUGAACCAGCCACGUAGCGUGAAGGAUGACUGCCCUAUGGGUUGUAAACUUCUUUUAUAUGGGAAUAAAAUGUUCCACGUGUGGGAUUUUGUAUGUACCAUAUGAAUAAGGAUCGGCUAACUCCGUGCCAGCAGCCGCGGUAAUACGGAGGAUCCGAGCGUUAUCCGGAUUUAUUGGGUUUAAAGGGAGCGUAGGUGGAUUGUUAAGUCAGUUGUGAAAGUUUGCGGCUCAACCGUAAAAUUGCAGUUGAAACUGGCAGUCUUGAGUACAGUAGAGGUGAGCGGAAUUCGUGGUGUAGCGGUGAAAUGCUUAGAUAUCACGAAGAACUCCGAUUGCGAAGGCAGUUCACUGGACUGCAACUGACACUGAGGCUCGAAAGUGUGGGUAUCAAACAGGAUUAGAUACCCUUGUAGUC
rnacentral:rRNA from 1 species